rnacentral:rRNA from 1 species
UACGUAGGGGGCUAGCGUUGUCCGGAAUCAUUGGGCGUAAAGAGCGUGUAGGCGGCUCGAUAAGUCCGCUGUGAAAGUCCAGGGCUCAACCCUGGAAGGCCGGUGGAAACUGUCGGGCUAGAGUCCGGAAGAGGCGAGUGGAAUUCCCGGUGUAGCGGUGAAAUGCGCAGAUAUCGGGAGGAACACCAAUGGCGAAGGCAGCUCGCUGGGACGGUACUGACGCUGAGACGCGAAAGCGUGAGGAGCAAACAGG